UGUUGCUGCUGGCCACUCGCCACACGACUCUAAGAAGGAUGCUGGGGCACAAACAUGAAGUUAUUGAAACACACCCAUCCCAGACUGAAUACUGAUCUCAUUUAGUGCUUUUUCACCUGUGAUUACUUUGCUCUCCUUUCUUCUGCUCAAGAGAGCUGAAACAAUAACAGUCACAGUGAGGGGAACGAGGGUGACGUUGUGGCACCUUCCUCAUCUAGAGCUGUUGGCAGAGCUCAGGGUCAAGGGGGGCACCUGGGGGCUCCUUCCAGCUCAUCUACAUACAAUGAGCCCAUAAAUCAGUCGUGUUCUUCCUGCCACACUGCCCUCUCUGCUCUGGUGGCUUGUCACCAGGCCCCAGGUUGGCCUGGGCUCCCUGGGACGAGCUUGGGGUGGGGCCGUGGGAGCCGUGGCCUGUCCUGCGGGAGGUGACCCAGGUUCUGGAAGUGUCUCCGCUGUCUUCCUGCUCAGGUUGGACCCGUCUCCCAGACAGCCAGAAGUAGGCAUGUGACACAGUUCUUGCCAAGGAGACACCAGCUGGAAUCCCCGGUAAUGCUCCCAGGAAAGAUUUUUAAAGGGACUAGACUGAAUAGGCAUAUGCCUGUCUACUCUUCUCCCCUUCCUCCUUUCUUUCUUGUUUAGAAUGUGAGUGUGAUGUCUGGAGCUUCAGCAGCCAUAUUUUGACCACGAGCCAAAUUUGAGGAUGACAGCCAUGCACUCAGAAUGAUGGACUAGAAAAAUAAAAAGAGCCUGGACCUCUUCUCCAAGACAAUGCUGUGGAGCUGCCAUACCAGCUCUGGAGUGCCUGCUUUUGGACUUCUUGUUAUCAAAUAAAUGAAUAAAUAAAUAACCUCCUAAUCUGCUUAAGCCCUUAUUUGUCAAGUUCCUAUUACUAGCAGCCAUACGCAAUUCCUAACUGCUACAAGCAUUAGGCUCCUUCUGAUGAGGAGCAACUCCAAUUAGAGCUGGUUGGGAGCCUGAAGUGGUUUUCAAACUGUGUACCACAGAAGCUAGGGGAUUCCAUGGAGCCCCCCUCUCAGAUGGGAGAUUAGGGGUGGAGGUGGGACCAUGCUGCCUCUCUCUGCCCCAUCUGUUUUUCCAACUUUGUUUUAAUGUUUCAUACGGGGAGAGGUGGCCCAGUUCGCUUUUGUUUAAAGAAAAAAUUCCAGGGCAAAAGAAUAAAGGUUUGGAAACCACUGUUCUUG
rnacentral:lncRNA from 1 species